rnacentral:tRNA from 1 species
GCGGGAGUAGCUCAGGGAUUAGAGCAUCUGCCUUCCAAGCAGAGGGUCGUGGGUUUGAAUCCCAUUUCCCGCU